rnacentral:rRNA from 1 species
AUUGAACGCUGGCGGCAGGCCUAACACAUGCAAGUCGCACGAGUGGCGGACGGGUGAGUAAUGUCUGGGAAACUGCCCGAUGGAGGGGGAUAACUACUGGAAACGGUAGCUAAUACCGCAUACCCUCGGAUGUGCCCAGAGGGGAUGAGCUAGUAGGUGGGGUAACGGCUCACCUAGGCGACUAUCCCUAGCUGGUCUGAGAGGAUGACCAGCCACACGGGAACUGAGACACGGUCCAGACUCCUACGGGAGGCAGCAGUGGGGAAUAUUGCACAAUGGGAGAAAGCCUGAUGCAGCCAUGCCGCGUGUAUGAGGAGGGCCUUCGGGUUGUAAAUGACUUUCAGCGAGGAGGCGUUGCUCGCAGAGGAAGCACCGGCUAACCCCGUGCCAGCAGCCGCGGUAAUUC